rnacentral:lncRNA from 1 species
GUGAUCAGUCUUAUCAAAUAUUGCUGAUAUAAGUAAGAUGAGGACUGAGAGUUUGAAUAUUGGAUUUGGCCUGAUGAAGGUUGCUGAUGACCUUGACGAAAGCAGUUUCAAUGGAGUUACAGGGGAGAAAGCCUGAUUAGGGCACAUUAACAGGAGAAUGGGAGAUGAGCCAACUCAUUUGCCUAAAUUGUCUCUGCCUGGAACAGUGCCUCCCAUGCCCUCUUCUAGACCCCAAAUCUGUUGACGUCCUUGAAGGCCUGUCUCAUAAUGUAGCUCCUACCUGGAACCUUUUGUGAUGUUUACUCUCCUCUGAAAUCCUGGUCUGUUUUUACUUCCCUUGUGGCAUUAUAUGCUGCCUCAUCGUGAGUUUUGUGUAAUCAUUUCAUGCCCAUUACUAAAUAUUCCUCCUUGCAAAUCACUUUAUGUUAGCGCCUCUUGCAGGGUCGGUCUCACUUUUUAUACAUAAGAGGUGCUCCUCAACUAGCUGCUGAAUUGAGUUAUAAACUUUCAUGGACUCUGAAGAGCAUCCUUGCCUCUCUCUCUAAGAGUAUGAUCGCUAACCCUCAAAGAGAAAGUCUUUAUACUCUGGGAGAAACAAAAAGAAAAAGAAACCGAAGAAGCUGAAAGGCAAUUAUUUCACAGCACUCCUGUUACAAUCGAGAAUUUCUUAAGUUGGAAGACCAAGUUUGAUGCCGAACUCUUGGAAAUUAAAAAGAAACGAAGGAAAGAAAGAAAAGCAGGGACAAAUAAAGUGGGAAACAGCCAUUUGAAACAGAUUAUAAUCUUGACACAUCUGCUAUCCAGUUCUUAGAGGAUGCUGGAAACAGUGUGGAGGUAGGCGAGACUGUGUUCCUGGAAGUGGAUGACUUGGAGCUGGAGGAUAAUGGGGAUGACCCAGACUACAAUCCUGCUGACCCGGAGAGUGGCUUGACUGACUAGUGGACUCUCCCCAUCUGCAGAGAGCCCUGACUGCCACAGCAUCCGCGGCUAUGCUGAAAGGGUGCGGAUUUUCCUUUCUUUUUUUUCCUAAGAAAAAAUAGUUUUCAGGGAAAUAUUCUUCUCAUAGCUUUUAUCAUUGAACUUAAUAAGCUGACUUUAAAAUUAAAAACAAAAACAAAACCAUGAGAUUUCCUAAGAUGAGAUUUAAACUUUUGAAGAGAAACGGACUGUCUUUCU